rnacentral:rRNA from 1 species
GACGAACGCUGGCGGCGUGCUUAACACAUGCAAGUCGAACGGAAAGGCCCUGCUUUUGUGGGGUGCUCGAGUGGCGAACGGGUGAGUAACACGUGAGUAACCUGCCCUUGACUUUGGGAUAACUUCAGGAAACUGGGGCUAAUACCGGAUAGGAGCUCCUGCUGCAUGGUGGGGGUUGGAAAGUUUCGGCGGUUGGGGAUGGACUCGCGGCUUAUCAGCUUGUUGGUGGGGUAGUGGCUUACCAAGGCUUUGACGGGUAGCCGGCCUGAGAGGGUGGACGGACAAGAGGGGAAAGAGGAGAAGACCGGAAGGACACGGGGGGGAGCAGGGGGGAAAAUGGGACGAGGGGCGGACGGAUGAAGCAGGUAAGGAGGGGGGGAGGGGAAGGGAGUCGGGUUUAAACACGCGUGCGACUGUGACGAAGAGGGAGUGACGGUAAGGGAUAAAGAAGAACCGGAUAGCUACGUG